AGUGAACGCUGGCGGUAGGCCUAACACAUGCAAGUCGAACGGCAGCACAGUAAGAGCUUGCUCUUACGGGUGGCGAGUGGCGGACGGGUGAGGAAUACAUCGGAAUCUACUUUUUCGUGGGGGAUAACGUAGGGAAACUUACGCUAAUACCGCAUACGACCUACGGGUGAAAGCAGGGGAUCUUCGGACCUUGCGCGAUUGAAUGAGCCGAUGUCGGAUUAGCUAGUUGGCGGGGUAAAGGCCCACCAAGGCGACGAUCCGUAGCUGGUCUGAGAGGAUGUAGAGCGACAGUGGAACUGAGACACGGCCCAGACUCUUAGGGACGGCAGCAGUGGGGAAUAUUGGACAAUGGGGGCAAGCCUGAUCCAGCCAUGCCGCGUGGGUGAAGAAGGCCUUCGGGUUGGAAAGCCCUUUUGUGGGGAAAGAAAGGCAGCAGGUUAAUACCCCGCUGUUCUGACGGUACCCAAAGAAUAAGCACCGGCUAACUUCGUG
rnacentral:rRNA from 1 species